rnacentral:rRNA from 1 species
UGGUGGCGAGUGGCGAACGGGUGAGUAAUACAUCGGAACGUGCCCAGUCGUGGGGGAUAACGUAGCGAAAGCUACGCUAAUACCGCAUACGAACUCUGGUUGAAAGCGGGGGAUCGCAAGACCUCGCGCGAUUGGAGCGGCCGAUGGCAGAUUAGGUAGUUGGUGGGGUAAAGGCUCACCAAGCCGACGAUCUGUAGCUGGUCUGAGAGGACGACCAGCCACACUGGGACUGAGACACGGCCCAGACUCCUACGGGAGGCAGCAGUGGGGAAUUUUGGACAAUGGGCGCAAGCCUGAUCCAGCCAUUCCGCGUGCAGGAUGAAGGCCCUCGGGUUGUAAACUGCUUUUGUACGGAACGAAAAGGCUCUGGUUAAUACCUGGGGCUCAUGACGGUACCGUAAGAAUAAGCACCGGCUAACUACGUGCCAGCAGCCGCGGUAAUACGUAGGUGCAAGCGUUAAUCGGAAUUACUGGGCGUAAAGCGUGCGCAGGCGGUUAUGUAAGACAGGUGUGAAAUCCCCGGGCUUAACCUGGGAACUGCAUUUGUGACUGCAUAGCUAGAGUACGGUAGAGG